rnacentral:rRNA from 1 species
ACUGGCCCAACUGAUAUGACGUGCUUGCACUGAAUUGACGUUGGAUUACCAGUGAGCGGCGGACGGGUGAGUAACACGUGGGCAACCUGCCCUGAAGCGGGGGAUAACAUCUGGAAACAGGUGCUAAUACCGCAUAACAACGAAAACCACAUGGUUUUCGUUUCAAAGAUGGUUUCGGCUAUCACUUCAGGAUGGGCCCGCGGUGCAUUAGCUAGUUGGUAAGGUAACGGCUUACCAAGGCAAUGAUGCAUAGCCGAGUUGAGAGACUGAUCGGCCACAAUGGAACUGAGACACGGUCCAUACUCCUACGGGAGGCAGCAGUAGGGAAUCUUCCACAAUGGGCGCAAGCCUGAUGGAGCAACACCGCGUGAGUGAAGAAGGGUUUCGGCUCGUAAAGCUCUGUUGUUGGAGAAGAACGUGCGUGAGAGUAACUGUUCACGCAGUGACGGUAUCCAACCAGAAAGUCACGGCUAACUACGUGCCAGCAGCCGCGGUAAUACGUAGGUGGCAAGCGUUAUCCGGAUUUAUUGGGCGUAAAGCGAGCGCAGGCGGUUGCUUAGGUCUGAUGUGAAAGCCUUCGGCUUAACCGAAGAAGGGCAUCGGAAACCGGGCGACUUGAGUGCAGAAGAGGACAGUGGAACUCCAUGUGUAG